AGCCCAGUUUUGUCUGGCACCCAAAGCCCAGCUCGUCUGGCACCUCAAGCUCAAGUUUUUCUUUCUGUUAUCGGCCCUCUGCGAGGCAAUGGUCGGAUUUAAAUUUCUGUUCUGCGAGUUUGGCCCUCUGCGAGGCAAUGGUCAAAUCCAGGUUUUAUUUUUCUGUUAUCGGCCCUCUGCGUUCUGCGAGUUUGGCCCUCUGCGAGGCAAUGGUCAAAUCCAGGUUUUAUUUUUCUGUUAUCGGCCCUCUACGAGGCAAUGGUCGGAUUUAAAUUUUUGUUCUGUGAGUUUGGCCCUCUGCGAGGUAAUGGUCAAAUCCAGGUUUUAUUUUUCUGUUAUCGGCCCUCUGCGAGGCAAUGGUCGGAUUUAAAUUUNCAAAUCCAGGUUUUAUUUUUCUGUUAUCGGCCCUCUGCGAGGCAAUGGUCGGAUUUAAAUUUUUGUUCUGCGAGUUUAGCCCUCUGCGAGGCAAUGGCCAAAUCCAGGUUUUAUUUUUCUGUUAUCGGCCCUCUGCGAGGCAAUGGUCGGAUUUAAAUUUCUGUUCUGCGAGUUUGGCCCUCUGCGAGGCAAUGGUCGGAUUUAAAUUUCUGUUCUGCGAGUUUGGCCCUCUACGAGGCAAUGGUCAAAUCCAGGUUUUAGUUUUCUGUUAUCGGCCCUCUGCAAGGCAAUGGUCGGAUUUAAAUUUCUGUUCUGCGAGGCAAUGGUCAAAUCAAGGUUUUAGUUUUCUGUUAUUGGCCCUCUGAUAGGCAGUGGUCAUUGGGUCGUGACUUGUUUCAUUUUUGUUCGCUUUCUUUCAUGUUUGAAACCCAGAUGAAAUUAAUGUUUCUAUCUUUACUUAACUUUUACUCAGAUAAUACGAAAAUAUCAUAUUUUCAUAUUAUCUAGUAAAAUCUAAGUAAAGAGGGGCAGUUGUCAACAC
rnacentral:lncRNA from 1 species